rnacentral:rRNA from 1 species
GACGAACGCUGGCGGCGUGCUUAACACAUGCAAGUCGAACGGACAGGCCCUGCUUUUGUGGGGUGCUCGAGUGGCGAACGGGUGAGUAACACGUGAGUAACCUGCCCUUGACUUUGGGAUAACUUCAGGAAACUGGGGCUAAUACCGGAUAGGAGCUCCUGCUGCAUGGUGGGGGUUGGAAAGUUUCGGCGGUUGGGGAUGGACUCGCGGCUUAUCAGCUUGUUGGUGGGGUAGUGGCUUACCAAGGCUUUGACGGGUAGCCGGCCUGGGAGGGUGAACGGCCACAUUGGGACUGAGAUACGGAGCAGACUCCUACGGGAGGCAGCAGUGGGGAGUAUUGCACAGUGAGCGGAAGCGUGAGGCAGCAACGCCGCGUGCGGGAUGACGGCCUUCGGGUUGUAAACCGCUUUCGCCUGUGACGAAGCGUGAGUGACGGUAAUGGGUAAAGAAGCACCGGCUAACUACGUG